rnacentral:rRNA from 1 species
AACGAACGCUGAUGGCGUGCCUCAUACAUGCAAGUCGAGCGCGCAGCAAUGCGAGCGGCGAACGGGUGAGUAACACGUGAACAAUCUGCCUUGAGGUGGGGGAUAACCAUUCCAACGGAUGGCUAAUACCGCAUAGGGUUCGGGGAGGGCAUCCUUCCCUUACGAAAGCAGCGAUGCGCCUUGAGAUGAGUUCGCGUCCCAUUAGCUAGUUGGCGGGGUAACGGCCCACCAAGGCGACGAUGGGUAGCCGGCCUGAGAGGGUGUCCGGCCACAUUGGGACUGAGAUACGGCCCAGACUCCUACGGGAGGCAGCAGUAGGGAAUUUUUCGCGCAAUGGGGGGAAACCCUGACGCAGCAACGCCAUGUGUGGGAUGAAGCAUUUCGGUGUGUAAAACCACUGUCGGCAGGGAAAUAAAAGCCCGCGCGUGCGCGGGGGUUGAAUGUACCUGCAGAGGAAGCCCCGGCUAACUUCGUGCCAGCAGCCGCGGUAAUACGAGGGGGGCCAAAGGUGUUGUUCGGAAUC